UCUUACGGGUAAGCAAAGAAAGUGGUUUCUUGAGAUGGAAUCUACUCCUGGUGAAAAUGGUGAUGAA
rnacentral:pre_miRNA from 1 species